rnacentral:sRNA from 1 species
AGGUUCGACUCGAGCGCAGCGAGAGAACGUUGCUUCAGCAACGGCCCGCAGGGCGAGCCAUCCUCUAUCACCGGCAG